GAUUGUAGUCUGCAACCCGACUACAUGAAGCUGGAAUCGCUAGUAAUCGCAGGUCAGCAUACUGCGGUGAAUACGUUCCCGGGUCUUGUACACACCGCCCCGUCACACCAUGGGAGCCGGAAAUGUCCGAAGCCAGUGACCCAACCUUAGGGAGGGAGCUGUCGAGGGUGGAGCCGGUAACGUGGGGUGAAGUCGUAACAAGGUAAC
rnacentral:rRNA from 1 species